ACUCCAGACUCCUACGGGAGGCAGCAGUGGGGGAUAUUGCACAAUGGGGGGAACCCUGAUGCAGCGACGCCGCGUGGGUGAAGGAGCGUUUCGGCGCGUAAAGCCCUAUCGGCAGGGAAGAAGGAGGACGGUACCUGACUAAGAAGCCCCGGCUAACUACGUGCCAGCAGCCGCGGGAAUACGUAGGGGGCAAGCGUUAUCCGGAUUUACUGGGUGUAAAGGGGGCGUAGACGGCAAUGCAAGCCAGAUGUGAAAGCCCGGGGCUCAACCCCGGGACUGCAUUUGGAACUGUGUAGCUGGAGUGUCGGAGAGGCAGGCGGAAUUCCUAGUGUAGCGGUGAAAUGCGUAGAUAUUAGGAGGAACACCAGUGGCGAAGGCGGCCUGCUGGACGAUGACUGACGUUGAGGCUCGAAAGCGUGGGGAGCAAACAGGAUUAGAUACCCUCGUA
rnacentral:rRNA from 1 species